CCCUACUGCUAUCGGGGUGGGACUAAGACAUGCAAGUUGAGCGUCUCUAAGCUAUGGUAGAGACGCGGCAUACGGCUCAGUAGCACGUGGCCAACCUACCCUUAGGACGGGGACAACCCCGGGAAACUGGGACUAAUAUCCGAUAGAUUAGGAGGCCUGGAAUGGUUCUUAAUCGAAAGGGCUUUGAAACCAUGCUUUUCAACGUCGCCUAAGGAUGGGGCCGCGCCCGAUCAGGCUGUUGGUGGGGUAAUGGCUCACCAAACCUAUAACCGGUGCGGGCCGUGAGAGCGGGAGCCCGGAGAUGGGCACUGAGACAAGGGCCCAGGCCCUACGGGGCGCAGCAGUCGCGAAAACUCCGCAAUGCGCGAAAGCGUGACGGGGCUACCCUGAGUGCCGUCCGCUGAGGAUGGCUUUUCCCCGGUGUAAUGAGCCGGGGGAAUAAGGAGAGGGCAAGUCUGGUGUCAGCCGCCGCGGUAAUACCAGCUCUCCGAGUGGUAGGGACAAUUAUUGGGCUUAAAGCGUCCGUAGCCGGCUUAGCAAGCCUCCUGUUAAAUUCAACGACCUAAUCGUUGAGCCGCGGGAGAUACUACUAGGCUAGGAGGCGGGAGAGGCCGACGGUAUUCUCGGGGUAGGGGUGAAA
rnacentral:rRNA from 1 species